CUCCGAAGAGCUGUGGCAAGGGGUGAAAAGCCAAUCUAACCUGGAGAUAGCUGGUCUUCUGCGAAACCCGUUUUAGCGGGUCGCCCAUUUAUUGAAAUUAAAUUCGUUACUAGACGGUACGGCACUGGAAGCCACGCAGCUUUUGCUGCAUAAUCGGGGGGCUGUCAUGGCUCUAUCGAUGGCUUCUAACCCCGGAAAUGUAUAGUAUACAAUGAUGGGCAAUCAGACGUAUCGUGAUAAGGCGAUUCGUCAAAAGGGCAACAGCCCAGAACAGGUGUGAAGGUCCCUAACAAGCUACUGAGUGAACACAAGGCAGUCCUCUCCAGUGUCUCUCCACAAAGUGGGCUUGGAAGCAGCCACCUUUUAGCGAUAGCGUAACAGCUCAGUGGUCUGAGCCUCCCUGUAAAAAGGGUAUAUUGCCUGGUGAGGGCGCCAAAAAUGUAACGGGUCUAUAGUAGUUGUCUCUCUGUUCCAGCUUUGGAUAUGGAGGGAGUGGCAGUUUCUUUACUGUCUCACCGAAACCCUGUCCUAGAUGUAAAAUUCUAGGGGUAGCAGAAUACCCAGCAAAUGGAAUGAAGCUUGCUCAUUGAGCCGGUGGACAUAGCUGGGCUAAGAAUGCUGACAUGAGUAGCCUAAAAGGAGGGUAAUUCCCUCUUCGCCGAAAGCAGAAGGGUUUCAUUUGUAAGGUCUAUACCUAGAUGAUUAAAGCAGCGGCCUCUAAGGUUCAGAGUAACAAAUUAGUUCCGAUGAGUAACUCUUCUAUAGGGCAGUAACCUUCCUUAUAAGUUUACCUUCAAGUAAUUAGAGGUAUACUUCAAAGAGUAAGGUUCGGGAAAGAGCCCUACAGAAUCAAUCUUAAAACCGUACCCUAAACCGACACAGGUCUGCAAGUAGAGCAUACUAAGGCGUAGAGAUAAUCGUCUUGAAGGAACUCGGCAAAAUGACCCCGUAACUUCGGGAGAAGGGGUGCCACUAAUAAGUGGCGGCACUAAACAGGGGGGCGCGACUGUUUACUUAAAACACCGGACUCU
rnacentral:rRNA from 1 species